AGAUCAUUUUGGGGACAAUUCCGAAGUAAACCCUUGUAGCGCUCCCAUGCUUCAAACAAUGACUCCCCCAUUUGUUGUUCAAAAUUAGCAACGUCCUUCUUAAGCUU